rnacentral:rRNA from 1 species
AGCAGCCGCGGUAAUUCCAGCUCCAAUAGCGUAUAUUAAAGUUGUUGCAGUUAAAAAGCUCGUAGUUGAAUUUCGGGGUUAGUAGGUCGGUCAUGCCACUGGUAUGUACUGGUCUCACUGAUUCCUCCUUCCUGAUGAACCGUAAUGCCAUUAAUUUGGUGUUGCGGGGAGACUGGACUGUUACUUUGAAAAAAUUAGAGUGUUUAAAGCAGGCUAACGCUUGAAUACAUUAGCAUGGAAUAAUGAAAUAGGACGUUCGAUCCUAUUUUGUUGGUUUCUAGGAUUGACGUAAUGAUUAAUAGGGAUAGUUGGGGGCAUUAGUAUUCAAUUGUCAGAGGUGAAAUUCUUGGAUUUAUUGAAGACUAGCUACUGCGAAAGCAUUUGCCAAGGAUGUUUUCAUUAAUCAAGAACGAAAGUUAGGGGAUCGAAGACGAUCAGAUACCGUCGUAGUCUUAACCAUAAACUAUGCCGACUAGGGAUCGGAUGAUGUUAAUUUUUAAUGACUCAUUCGGCGCCUUAA